rnacentral:lncRNA from 1 species
CGCGAUUUACAAAUUCGAAUGAGCAUCAAAAGUGAUGUAGCAGUCGAAAUCGCCAAAUCACACACACACUCCCCCUUUCCCCGCCACCCGACCAACCACAUCUUGCCGCCCCUCGUCGGCGAAUUGACGACGGCUUUUUUGUGGCUUCUCCUCUGCUUCCGCAGAAUCAUCAAGAAAUGCACUGCCCUUUCCGCCUCCAAGAAACCCCCUUUACGCCUCUCCUACCUCCUCCCUCCGCUUGGCCAGGGCAGCUUCGGCUCCAUCUACUGUGCCGAGUUCAAGUCGCUGCCACUUCGCU